rnacentral:rRNA from 2 species
GAUGAACCACUUCGGUGGGGAUUAGUGGCGAACGGGUGAGUAACACGUGGGCAAUCUGCCCUGCACUCUGGGACAAGCCCUGGAAACGGGGUCUAAUACCGGAUAUCACUUCCACUCGCAUGGGUGGGGGUCGAAAGCUCCGGCGGUGCAGGAUGAGCCCGCGGCCUAUCAGCUUGUUGGUGAGGUAACGGCUCACCAAGGCGACGACGGGUAGCCGGCCUGAGAGGGCGACCGGCCACACUGGGACUGAGACACGGCCCAGACUCCUACGGGAGGCAGCAGUGGGGAAUAUUGCACAAUGGGCGAAAGCCUGAUGCAGCGACGCCGCGUGAGGGAUGACGGCCUUCGGGUUGUAAACCUCUUUCAGCAGGGAAGAAGCGAAAGUGACGGUACCUGCAGAAGAAGCGCCGGCUAACUACGUGCCA